GAAGCCUGCCACAACAAAGUACAUGCUCUGUGACUCAUACAAAACUCUGUAAGAGGCCAAACUCUUCCAUUGUUUUAAAUAAUCAGACAAGUGGUUGUCUUGGGGACUGAGGUUUGACUAGAGAACACAAGGGAUUUUUGCUCUGAUACGUGAUGCUCUGCAUAGUGAUAGAGAGUCAAAAUCAAAGUAUUCUGAAGGCUUCCUUUUCGACACCUCUUUCCCGUUUUUGAUGUUUUCCAGAGAAUACAGGCAGUUUCUUUAUGAAGAGGAAAGGAUGGGAACAUUAGAACAAUAAAAGUAAAAUCGUCGUAUUUUUCUUCUGAAAUGCCAUGUCACAUAAAAUACAUGCAUACAUAUAUAUAUAUGUAUGU